ACUCGGCUGCAUGAAGCUGGAAUCGCUAGUAAUCGCGGAUCAGAAUGCCGCGGUGAAUACGUUCCCGGGUCUUGUACACACCGCCCGUCACACCAUGGGAGUCGGGAAUGCCCGAAGUCAGUGACCCAACCGAAAGGGGGAGCUGCCGAAGGCAGGCCUGGUAACUGGGGUGAAGUCGUAACAAGGUACC
rnacentral:rRNA from 1 species